AACAAACCCGCACGUCGGAAUUAGGGCUGAGAGAGAAAGAAAACCCUGAGCACAGCGCUGAGGUUUACACUUAUAUUUUCUUGCUCAAAUUCCAAGCCCAGUUACUUGGACUAAGCUAAUGGUUUCCAUAAGCGCAUGUGAACUUUAUACCGUGCAGUUGAAAGCAAGGGUCUCAGCCCUCUGACCCAGAGGUCAGAAACGGUCUUGCAGCUUUCAGAGCUGCUUUCGGAAUCCCAAACUGAGGCUGCGGAGGCUCCCGCACAUUACUGAAGGGCUGGUCUCACCGUUUGGGAAUUAGGACUCGCCCAUUCAAGUCUUUCACCAAAUAUUUAUUGGGUGUGCCAAGCGCUGAGAAGCCACUGAAGACAUAAAGGUCUACAGCCCAGGAGGAGAAACAGAUCUACCAAGAGAACCCUAAAGCACCACGGCAAGUGCAGUGAUAUGGCUGUGCAAAGAGCGCUCUGAGAUCAUGUACAGGGGAUGGCUUCCUGGAGGAGGUGGUGCUCAACUCAAGUCUGAAAGGAUGCUUAGCUUGAAGAAAACUAGAUACAGGCAGACUGCUAAUUGCCUUCAAGUCCCUGAGUGGCUCUUGAGCAGGAGAAGAAAUAAAUACAGUUGAUUUGCCUCCAGAAAGCAGAGAUAUGAAGGUAUGUUUUAAUUUAGUGCAGACAAGAGCCGUCUCACAAUGUGUACUCUUCAAAAAUGGAAUGGGCUAUAUGAGGGGUAGUGAGUUCACUGUUCCUGGAGCUAUUCAAGCAUGGGGGGCGGUGUACCACUUGGGAAAAGGUUGUAGAUGGAAGUCAGGAAUCAUGAGAGCAUCUCUGUAGCAACCAUUUCUACCAUAGGAUGUAGGUUUGAUUAUUAUAAUCUUAGUUAUUUACAUUACAAGUCCUAUCCCCUUGCUUAGUUGUCUCAUCUCUAACUUCGUCCUGUCCUACCUCACCAGAAAGAGAAACUAUUACCUAGAACUAGGGAAUAAGCAAGCCCUACACAAAUAGCUUAGCAACUUCUCCAUGGGUGUGACCAUUCUCUUUUCAUGCAUAAGGCUGUGAUUAAUAACAAAGACUGAAAGCUGUACAGAUUUGUGGGGAUAGGAGACCAGCCUCAUGUGUGCUAGCCUAGACAAGGAGACGCUCUGAAAACAGGAAGUGCCUCAGCCCUGGACUCCUCUCCAUACCUGUCACUUUCUACCUCUUGUAUCAUAAUCACAAGGAAUUCCUGCUGCAGGAAACACAUCUGGUUCAUUAUUAAUCCUCUUAGGUGCCGAGUUCUUCUCCCUCAGCCUCAUGGUCCACCCACCUUCUUCUUCAAGUCUUGGAUCAAAUAUCAACACAGUGAGACUCUGCUCUGACCACUAUAUUUGAAAUUCCACCCCUUCCUAUCAUCCCCCUAAGAUAAGUAAUCCUAUCCCCCUUGCUCAUUAUUUAUUGACUCUAUUCCUAUCCCCCUUGCUUAUUAUUUAUUGACUCUAUCUCCCUAAUAAAAUAUAAAUCCCAAAAGAGCAGGGUUGUGGUCUGUUGUGCUCCCUGCAGUAUCCCCGGAGCCUCCAACAGUGCCUGGCACGAGGCAGUGAUGGAAUGAUACAUGAGAAACAGCAGGCGGUGGCACUGCAGGAUGAGUGGAAGGAGGGCGGUUCCAUGCACGGACUCCGGCCCUCAGCCUCCUCUAAGGGAGUGAAGAGGCAGGCCAUGGCAUGGCUCCAACCCCCCGUGGCUGCCAUCCUAGAGCGAUUUGAUCUUCUGCUUGCGAGAGUGAAGGUGUAAAGUUUAACUUCCACGAGAUGAGUGAUGUCCCAAUCACUGUGGUAAUAAGCCACCCUUACAACCGCCCACAUUCUCCACCAGGGUCCCAAGCUUGCUAAGAUAAACACAUAUACUUAGGGAAAAAAAUGACCCUUAAAAUUCAAGGUCCUGAGGACCAAUUCCAAAGGCAUAAAUAGCCCAUGUGAAAAGUAACCUUUAGUUUGCCAUCAAGACUAGUUUAAUAAAGAAACUAUUUAAAUUACACAUUUGGGAAUUUCACUAGUGAUUCUUUUUAUACUGCUAAUAUAUGAGAAGAGACAGCAUUCACCAUCGGUUAUCAAU